rnacentral:tRNA from 1 species
GCCUUCGUGGUGUAGUGGUCAGCACGCUCGACGCAUAUUCCAAAGAUCCGUGGUUCGAGUCUCGGCGACGGCA